rnacentral:rRNA from 1 species
UACGGAGGGGGCUAGCGUUGUUCGGAAUUACUGGGCGUAAAGCGCACGUAGGCGGCUUUGUAAGUUAGAGGUGAAAGCCCAGGGCUUAACCCUGGAAUUGCCUUUAAGACUGCAUCGCUAGAAUUGUGGAGAGGUAAGUGGAAUUCCGAGUGUAGAGGUGAAAUUCGUAGAUAUUCGCAGGAACACCAGUGGCGAAGGCGGCUUACUGGUCCAUAACUGACGCGUGAGGUGGCGAAAGCGUGG